GACGAACGCUGGCGGCGUGCUUAACACAUGCAACUCGAACGGAAAGGCCCUGCUUUUGUGGGGUGCUCGAGAGGCACAAUGGGUGAGAUAACGCGUGAGUAACCUGCCCUUGACUUUGGGAUAACUUCAUGAAACUGGGGCUAAUACCGGAUAGGAGCUCCUGCUGCAUGGCGGGGGUUGGAAAGUUUCUGAGGUUGGGGAUGGACUCGCGUCUUAUCAGCUUGCUGGUGGGGUAGUGGCUUACCCAGGCUUUGACGGGUAGCCGGCCUGACAGGGUGACCGGCCACAUUGGGACUGAUAUACCGCCCACACUCCUACAGGAGGUCACAAUGGGGAAUAUUGCACUAUGGGCGGAAGCCUGAUGCAGAAACACCUCGUGCGGGAUGACUGCCUUCCGGGUGUAAACCGCUUUCGCCUGUGACCAACCGUGAGUGACAGUUAUGCGUAAAGAAGCACCGGCUAACUACGUGCCAGCAGCCGCGGCGAUACGUAGGGUGCGAGCGUUGUCCGGAUUCAUUGCGCGUAACGGGCUCGCACGAGGUUGAUCGCGUCAGAAGUGAAAUCUUGUGGCUUAACCCUGAGCGUGCUUUCGAUACUGAUGAGCUUGAAUGAACUAAAGGUAGGCGGAAUGUGACGAGUAACGGUGAAAUGCAUAGAUAUGUCAAGAGGAACACCGAUUGCGAAGGCAGCUUACUAUGGUUUUAUUGACGCUGAAGCACGAAAGCGUGGGGAGCGAACAGGAUUAAAUACCCUGGUAGUCCACGCCCUAAACGAUGAAUACUCGCUGUUAGCGAUACACACUUAGCGGCUAAGCGAAAGCGUUAACUAUUCCACCUGGGGAGUACGGCCGCAAGGGUGAAACUCAAAGGAAUUGACGGUGGCCCGCACAAGCGCCGGAGCAUGAGGUUUAAUUCUAUGCAACGCGAGGAACCUUACCCUGGCUUGAAAGUUACUGACGAUAUUAGAGAUAGUAUCUUGAGCAAUCACACUAAACUAGGUGCUGCAUGGCUGUCGUCAGCUCGUGCCGUGAGGUGUUGGGUUAAGUCCCGCAACGAGCGCAACCCCUAUGUUUAGUUGCCAGCACGUUAUGGUGGGGACUCAGUGGAGACUGCCGGGGUCAACUCGGAGGAAGGUGGGGACGACGUCAAGUCAUCAUGGCCCUUACGUCCAGGGCUACACACGUGCUACAAUGGAUGGUACAGAGAGUGGCGAUCCUGUGAGGGUGAGCGAAUCUCGGAAAGCCGGUAUCAGUUCGGAUCGGGGUCUGCAACUCGACCUCAGGAAGUCGGAGUCGCUAGUAAUCGCAGAUCAGCAACGAUGCGGUGAAUACGUUCCCGGGGCU
rnacentral:rRNA from 1 species